AGUGAACGCUGGCGGUAGGCCUAACACAUGCAAGUCGAACGGCAGCACAGUAAGAGCUUGCUCUUACGGGUGGCGAGUGGCGGACGGGUGAGGAAUACAUCGUAAUCUACUUUUUCGUGGGGGAUAACGUAGGGAAACUUACGCUAAUACCGCAUACGACCUACGGGUGAAAGCAGGGGAUCUUCGGACCUUGCGCGAUUGAAUGAGCCGAUGUCGGAUUAGCUAGUUGGCGGGGUAAAGGCCCACCAAGGCGACGAUCCGUAGCUGGUCUGAGAGGAUGAUCAGCCACACUGGAACUGAGACACGGUCCAGACUCCUACGGGAGGCAGCAGUGGGGAAUAUUGGACAAUGGGCGCAAGCCUGAUCCAGCCAUACCGCGUGGGUGAAGAAGGCCUUCGGGUUGUAAAGCCCUUUUGUUGGGAAAGAAAAGCAGCAGGUUAAUACCCCGCUGUUCUGACGGUACCCAAAGAAUAAGCACCGACUAACUUCGUG
rnacentral:rRNA from 1 species